CAAGGGGCUCGUUCCUUCCAACUUUCUCGAAGAAGUGCCUGAUGAUGUUGAGGUUUUCCUCACAGAUUCACCAUCUCGCUAUCCCCAGGACUCUCCGGCACGGAUAAAGACCAAAAGGAAGAAGAGUGUUCAUUUCACACCUUAAAGGCUCUGUUUCCGUCACGUAAGUGAGCAACUGAGGAUACCAAGAUUACGCUCCUCUCGUCUAAUGCAGAUGGCAUGGGUAUCGUUAGUUUCUGGUUCCACCGGAAAAAUCGUC